AACGCUGGCGGCGUGCCUAACACAUGCAAGUCGAACGGAACUGCUUCGAAGGAUUUCUUCGGAAUGACAUUGAUUCAGUUUAGUGGCGGACGGGUGAGUAACGCGUGAGUAACCUGCCUUCAAGAGGGGGAUAACAUUCUGAAAAAGAAUGCUAAUACCGCAUGACAUAUGAUUGUCGCAUGGCAGACAUAUCAAAGAUUUAUCGCUUGAAGAUGGACUCGCGUCCGAUUAGUUAGUUGGUGAGGUUAAACGGGCCCCACCAAGACCGCGAUCGGUAGCCGGACUGAGAGGUUGAACGGCCACAUUGGGACUGAGACACGGCCCAGACUCCUACGGGAGGCAGCAGUGGGGGAUAUUGCGCAAUGGGGGCAACCCUGACGCAGCAACGCCGCGUGAAGGAUGAAGGUUUUCGGAUUGUAAACUUCUUUUAUUAAGGACGAAAAAAUGACGGUACUUAAUGAAUAAGCUCCGGCUAACUACGUG
rnacentral:rRNA from 1 species